UACGUAGGGGGGCGAGCGUUGUCCGGAGUACUGGGCGUAAAGCGCACGCAGGCGGUCUGCUAAGUUUGGAGUGACAGUUGGUGGCUUAACUGCCAAAGUGCUUCGAAAACUGACAGACUUGAGGGCUUUUAGAGGGACACGGAAUUCCGGGUGGAGUGGUGAAAUGCGUAGAGAUCCGGAGGAACACCAAAGGCGAAGGCACUCUGCUGGGCCGACACUGACACUGAGAGACGAAAAGCUAGGGGAGCGAAUGGG
rnacentral:rRNA from 1 species